rnacentral:rRNA from 1 species
UGAUUUGAGUUCAGACCGGUGUAAGCCAGGUCGGUUUCUAUCUUCUUUAAACAAAUUACAGUACGAAAGGACCAAAUUUUAAAUUAACAAU